GAGGCCAAGGGACCCAGCCAAGGAGGGGGCGGCCGGCGGGAGGGUCCGGAACGCGCGGCCUCGCCCCGUCGCCGUCCGGGCCCAGCUGAGGAAAACGCUGGACAGGCCGACUUGGGAGUCCCUUGGGAGGCGCCUUCCUCCACCCCGCUAAGCUCUGACUAUCCACCUCUGUAAGAGCCUGCAAGCCCCCACAGGUGCUCCCUACAAAGCCUUAAAUUUGGCCAGCCGUGUGGUUACUGUGAUCUGCCAUGAGCAAAGGUCAGAGGGACCAGAUUUCAGCAGAGACCAACAACACAACUAUCAUCAAAGUCCAGACUCUACUGGGAGGAGACAAGCCAGCUCCCAUAUUGCCAUCUGGACCAACCUGUGGCUCCUGAUUUUUCUGCCUCAGCUCCCUCAGAGAAGAUCUCAAAGGUCUAGGAAUUGGAUUUCAGAUAAGACCCGGUUUCAGGCUUCGCAACCACCAUCUAUGGUACCUCUUGCUUUGUUUUGUACCUAGACUGUAGCUCCCCAAGCCUUCUCUGCCGGGCUCCUGUUUAGGAUUGUGGGUAAGAGACCAGGCUCAAAGGGGUUCCUUUCCACCCCCUCUCCUACUCCUGCCUUCCGCCCCCUGCUGGCC
rnacentral:lncRNA from 1 species